rnacentral:rRNA from 1 species
UACGUAGGUGGCAAGCGUUGUCCGGAAUUAUUGGGCGUAAAGCGCGCGCAGGCGGUCUUUUAAGUCUGAUGUGAAAUCUUGCGGCUCAACCGUAAGCGGUCAUUGGAAACUGAAAGACUUGAGUGCAGAAGAGGAGAGUGGAAUUCCACGUGUAGCGGUGAAAUGCGUAGAUAUGUGGAGGAACACCAGUGGCGAAGGCGACUCUCUGGUCUGUAACUGACGCUGAGACGCGAAAGCGUGGGUAGCAAACAGG